rnacentral:rRNA from 1 species
AUGGAAUGGCCUCGGCAGUGGCGGCAAAAGGACAGAGACAUCAGAAGAUCUCAACUCGCAGUCCUGGCGCCAUUGUUCCUCCUUCCACGGCUUGCUGUUGAUCUUCUUGCUCCAUGCGGUGAGUGUCCAGCCACCACCAGUGUGCUCGUCAGACCGCUUGUCGACGUACUUGAUGCAACCUUGGUCGACAACGGCGAUGUCCCUGGUUAUGACGGCGUCCCACUUGCGCUCACCGAAGGCAUGCGGCAAGGGGACGUAGCGGAGCUCCGGGUCGAGGAGCACGUCGCAGAGCAGGACGCCGCGCCAGAGGUCGGCCCAGCCCACGAAACCACCGCCGAGAGUGAACACCUUGCUAGUGGAGAAGAAGACGGAGUCCAUGGCAGGGUUCAUGGCAGUGGCACCAAGCUCCAGCUUGCUCUUGGUCCAGGUGUUGGUCUCGGAGUGGAAGCGGUGGAGCUCAUACGCCAUGCCCCGUCCCCGUGUACCCUCGAGGAACGCAAUGAUGUAGGAGGAGCUGUUCGGGCUGCAGCGCAGGAGGGCGACGUCCCUGAGACCGAAGCGGCCAUGUGGGCGCGGGAGAGACGUGAGCGAGCGCGCGGCGGGCUGGUAGACGAAGUAGUCGAACAUGUCCGGCUGGGUGCACAGGGACCGGUGGCCGAUGGCGACGCCGAGCAAGAAGAGGCCAUCCGCGGCGGCGAAGAUCCUGGGCUCGAUGGCGAAGCGUGUGGGCUUGAGGCCGGGGCAGUUGACGCGGAUGUGGGAGACCAGCGGCGGGCGGGCGGCGAUCAUGGUGACCUCUAUGGCAUGGCCUCCCCUGGUGCCGGCGGCGGCGGUGGUGCCGGCGGCUAUGUAGGCGGAGACGUCGAGGAGGACCCAGCUCGGAGGAGGACCGUUGAAAAGGGGCAGCGCAGGCGGUGUCAGCGAGGCGCCGAAGAUGGCGCUCUCCGUCACGUUGACGUACUCUUCCAAGCCCUCCUCCAUGUACAUGGAUGGAUCUUCCCCUCCUUUCAAGCUAUCUACAAGACGAUUGUCCAGGUAUAUAUGAAGAGAGGAUUGCUAGCCUGA